GUAACACUUGGACUUAACAAAACUGUACUCCUGCUUUCUGGCUGUACAUAUUUGAAUAACACAAGCAAGUUUGAAUUUCAGAGUCGAGAAAUAUGACAGAGAUGUUAUCUGGAAUAGAUUGACAAGGAACACAAUGCCAAUAUAAGAAAGAAGAAGUCAUAUGUAUUCAACACAAAUACCCAGAGUGCUGCAAAUACCUGGAGUGCUUUGCUUAGCCAGCUGUUCUGGCUAA
rnacentral:lncRNA from 1 species